rnacentral:rRNA from 1 species
GACGAACGCUGGCGGCGUGCCUAAUACAUGCAAGUUGAGCGCUGAAGGUUGGUACUUGUACCAACUGGAUGAGCAGCGAACGGGUGAGUAACGCGUGGGGAACCUGCCUUUGAGCGGGGGACAACAUUUGGAAACGAAUGCUAAUACCGCAUAAAAACUUUAAACACAAGUUUUAAGUUUGAAAGAUGCAAUUGCAUCACUCAAAGAUGAUCCCGCGUUGUAUUAGCUAGUUGGUGAGGUAAAGGCUCACCAAGGCGAUGAUACAUAGCCGACCUGAGAGGGUGAUCGGCCACAUUGGGACUGAGACACGGCCCAAACUCCUACGGGAGGCAGCAGUAGGGAAUCUUCGGCAAUGGACGAAAGUCUGACCGAGCAACGCCGCGUGAGUGAAGAAGGUUUUCGGAUCGUAAAACUCUGUUGGUAGAGAAGAACGUUGGUGAGAGUGGAAAGCUCAUCAAGUGACGGUAACUACCCAGAAAGGGACGGCUAACUACGUG